GAAUAUAUAGCUCAGAGGUAGAGCAAUGGACUUUUAAUCCAAAGGCCCUGGGUUCAAAUCCCAGUAUAUUCA
rnacentral:tRNA from 1 species